rnacentral:rRNA from 1 species
CCAAUAGCGUAUAUUAAAGUUGUUGCAGUUAAAAAGCUCGUAGUUGAAUUUCGGGACUAAUAUGUCGGUCGUACUUUGUACGUACUAACAUUAUUGGUUUCUCCCUUCUGACGAACCACGAUGUCAUUAAUUUGGUGUCGCGGGAAAUCAGGACUGUUACUUUGAAAAAAUUAGAGUGUUUAAAGCAAGCUCGCGCUUGAAUACAUUAGCAUGGAAUAAU